rnacentral:rRNA from 1 species
GACAGCAGCCGCCACGGUAAUACAGAGGGUGCGAGCGUUAAUCGGAUUUACUGGGCGUAAAGCGUGCGUAGGCGGCUUCUUAAGUCGGAUGUGAAAUCCCUGAGCUUAACUUAGGAAUUGCAUUCGAUACUGGGAAGCUAGAGUAUGGGAGAGGAUGGUAGAAUUCCAGGUGUAGCGGUGAAAUGCGUAGAGAUCUGGAGGAAUACCGAUGGCGAAGGCAGCCAUCUGGCCUAAUACUGACGCUGAGGUACGAAAGCAUGGGGAGCAAACAGGAUUAGAUACCCCCGUAGUCCCUGUCUCUUAUAA